GUCAAGGGCAAUUUCCUUAUAGCAUGGGCCGUCUCCCGAGUAUUCUAACACAAAGCAAUCAAAGUCAAGCAAUUGUCGAACAGAAGAUACAGUACACAACACUGAAAAUAAAGAAAAAUUAACAAGAUAGCAAUGAAGAGCAAUUAAGCACUUAGAAAUGACAACAGGGCAUUUACUCCAAAUAAGGGAAAAAGAAAAUAAAAUUUCCGUCUGAAAUAAGAGAAAUCUGCCACUAUUUAUUUUCACUAAAGAUUUCCUGAAAACAAUACUUGUUUUUAAGUUUUCCAACUUUCUUGGACUUUUCUCCUUU